UACGUAGGGUGCGAGCGUUAAUCGGAAUUACUGGGCGUAAAGCGUGCGCAGGCGGUUCUCCAAGUCCGUUGUGAAAGCCCCGGGCUCAACCUGGGAAUGGCAGUGGAAACUAGGGGACUGGAAUCUGGCAGAGGGGGGUGGAAUGCCGCGUGUAGCAGUGAAAUGCGUAGAGAUGCGGCGGAACACCGAUGGCGAAGGCAGCCCCCUGGGCUGAGAUUGAUGCUCAGGCACGAAAGCGUGGGGAGCAAACAGG
rnacentral:rRNA from 1 species